rnacentral:rRNA from 1 species
GAACCGUACAAACGUUAUUCGGAAUCACUGGGCUUAAAGGGUGCGUAGGCGGUCCAGAAAGUUGGGUGUGAAAGCCCUCGGCUCAACCGAGGAAUUGCGCUCAAAACUUCUGGACUAGAGGAAGGUAGAGGUAAGCGGAACUUAGGGUGGAGCGGUGAAAUGCGUUGAUAUCCUAAGGAACACCAGUUGCGAAGGCGGCUUACUGGACCUUUUCUGACGCUGAGGCACGAAAGCUAGGGGAGCGAACGGGAUUAGAUACCCCGGUAGUCCUAGCUGUAAACGAUGAGCACUGGGUUGGAGGCCCCCCUCAUAGGCUUCCCUGCCGUAGCGAAAGUGUUAAGUGCUCCGCCUGGGGAGUAUGGUCGCAAGGCUG